UUUAUGGAGAGUUUGAUCCUGGCUCAGGAUAAACGCUGGCGGCGUGCCUAAUACAUGCAAGUCGAGCGAACGGACGAGAAGCUUGCUUCUCUGAUGUUAGCGGCGGACGGGUGAGUAACACGUGGAUAACCUACCUAUAAGACUGGGAUAACUUCGGGAAACCGGAGCUAAUACCGGAUAAUAUUUUGAACUGCAUGGUUCAAAAGUGAAAGACGGUCUUGCUGUCACUUAUAGAUGGAUCCGCGCUGCAUUAGCUAGUUGGUAAGGUAACGGCUUACCAAGGCAACGAUGCAUAGCCGACCUGAGAGGGUGAUCGGCCACACUGGAACUGAGACACGGUCCAGACUCCUACGGGAGGCAGCAGUAGGGAAUCUUCCGCAAUGGGCGAAAGCCUGACGGAGCAACGCCGCGUGAGUGAUGAAGGUCUUCGGAUCGUAAAACUCUGUUAUUAGGGAAGAACAUAUGUGUAAGUAACUGUGCACAUCUUGACGGUACCUAAUCAGAAAGCCACGGCUAACUACGUGCCAGCAGCCGCGGUAAUACGUAGGUGGCAAGCGUUAUCCGGAAUUAUUGGGCGUAAAGCGCGCGUAGGCGGUUUUUUAAGUCUGAUGUGAAAGCCCACGGCUCAACCGUGGAGGGUCAUUGGAAACUGGAAAACUUGAGUGCAGAAGAGGAAAGUGGAAUUCCAUGUGUAGCGGUGAAAUGCGCAGAGAUAUGGAGGAACACCAGUGGCGAAGGCGACUUUCUGGUCUGUAACUGACGCUGAUGUGCGAAAGCGUGGGGAUCAAACAGGAUUAGAUACCCUGGUAGUCCACGCCGUAAACGAUGAGUGCUAAGUGUUAGGGGGUUUCCGCCCCUUAGUGCUGCAGCUAACGCAUUAAGCACUCCGCCUGGGGAGUACGACCGCAAGGUUGAAACUCAAAGGAAUUGACGGGGACCCGCACAAGCGGUGGAGCAUGUGGUUUAAUUCGAAGCAACGCGAAGAACCUUACCAAAUCUUGACAUCCUUUGACAACUCUAGAGAUAGAGCCUUCCCCUUCGGGGGACAAAGUGACAGGUGGUGCAUGGUUGUCGUCAGCUCGUGUCGUGAGAUGUUGGGUUAAGUCCCGCAACGAGCGCAACCCUUAAGCUUAGUUGCCAUCAUUAAGUUGGGCACUCUAAGUUGACUGCCGGUGACAAACCGGAGGAAGGUGGGGAUGACGUCAAAUCAUCAUGCCCCUUAUGAUUUGGGCUACACACGUGCUACAAUGGACAAUACAAAGGGCAGCGAAACCGCGAGGUCAAGCAAAUCCCAUAAAGUUGUUCUCAGUUCGGAUUGUAGUCUGCAACUCGACUACAUGAAGCUGGAAUCGCUAGUAAUCGUAGAUCAGCAUGCUACGGUGAAUACGUUCCCGGGUCUUGUACACACCGCCCGUCACACCACGAGAGUUUGUAACACCCGAAGCCGGUGGAGUAACCUUUUAGGAGCUAGCCGUCGAAGGUGGGACAAAUGAUUGGGGUGAAGUCGUAACAAGGUAGCCGUAUCGGAAGGUGCGGCUGGAUCACCUCCUUUCU
rnacentral:rRNA from 1 species